UUUGAUUAUGUAGCUCAAGAUUGAACGCUGGCGGGAUGCUUUACAUGCAAGUCGAACGGCAGCACGGACUUCGGUCUGGUGGCGAGUGGCGAACGGGUGAGUAAUGUAUCGGAACGUGCCUGGCGGGGGGAUAACUACGCGAAAGCGUAGCUAAUACCACAUACCCUUCGGGAAAGCGGGGACCUUAGAGCUCGCACUAUUGGAAACGGCCGAUAUCGGAUUAGCUAGUUGGUGGGGUAACGGCUCACCAAGGCGACGAUCCGUAUGCUGGUUUGAAGGACGACCAGCCACUGGGACUGAGACACGGCCCAGAACUCCUACAGGAGAACAGCAGUGGGGGAGCUUUGGACAAUGGGGGGAAACCUGAUCCAGCCAUCGCGCGUGUGCGGUGGUGCGCUAGGUUGUAAAGCACUUUUGGCGGGAAAGAAGCAGCCACGGAUAAUACCCCGUGCAGCUGACAGCUGCGAAUAUGGCACCGGCUAACUGCAGUACCCGGCAAUAGCCGCGGUAAUACGUAGGGUGCAAGCGUUAAUCGGAAUUACUGGGCGUAAAGCGUGCGCGGGCGGUUCGGAAGAAAGAUGUGAAAUCCCAGAGCUUAGCACAGGACUGCAUUUUUAACUGCCCGAGCUAGAGUGUGUCAGAGGAGGUGGAAUUCCGCGUGUAGCAGUGAAAUGCGUAGAUAUGCGGAGGAACACCGAUGGCGAGACAACCUCCUGGGAUAACACUGACGCUCAUGCGAAAGCGUGGGAGCAAACUGGGAUUGAAUACCCUGGUAGUCCACGCCCUAAACGAUGUCAACUAGCUGUUUGGGGCCUUCGGGCCUUGGUAGCUUCACCCCGGCUAACGCGUGAAGUUGACCGCCUGGGAAAUACGGUCAGAUUAAAACUCAAAGAAGAUGGGCAGGACCCGCACAAGCGGUGGAUGAUGGAUUAAUUCAGUACAACGCGAAAAACCUUACCACCUAUCACCCUUGACAUGUCUGGAAUCCGAAAGUUUGGUACUCGCAAGAGAACCGGAACUUACAGGUGCUGCGCUGGCUUGUCGUCGAAAGCUCGGUAAUGUGAGAUGUUGGUUAAGUCCACUGUAUGAGCACAGCUGUCGGCUAGGUUGCUACGAAAGGCGCUCGUGGACUGCGCCGGUGACAAACCGGAGGAGGUGGGGAUGACAUCAAGUCCUCAUGGCUGGGUGGAGCUUCACACGUCAUCAAUGGUGGGACAGAGAGAUUAUCCCAACCCGCGAGAGAACCAAUCCCAGAAACCCGAUCGUAGUCCGGAUCGCAGUCUGCAACUCGACUGCGUGAUCGAAUCUUCAAUGCGGAUCAGCAUGUCGCAGUGAAUACGUUCCCGGAUGCUUAUACACCGCCCGUCACACCAUGGGAGUGGGGUUUUACCAGUAGUUAGCCUAACCAUGGAGGGCGUUACUACAAACGGAUAUUGACUGGAGUGAAGUCGUAACAAAGACUAA
rnacentral:rRNA from 1 species